ACCAAAAGACAUGGUUGUUGUGUCUAUAAAAGCCCACACAAUUGUCAUAGAGGCAGAAGUCUCUUACACACUCCUCUGGAACGUGUGAGAAGAUUUCUCCCCAAAGCUGGAUGCAGUUUUGAGGCUACUUUUCUGGAAAUUGAGGGAAAAGACUUCGAUGUGUACCCCAUCAAGAACUGGAUGUGCAAUCCUGGAGCCAGAGAUUCUGUACAGUUGUACCAAUAACACUGUAAUAGCACUGAUUCUAUAUGUACUGAAAAUAGAUUUGGAAUAAAAACAGUCUUAAAGCCAGUCGUUUCAGCAGCUGGAGUGGGAAGCAAACACACUUCUGGAGUUCUUCAUCAGAUAAUAUAUCCUGUUGACGUACAUAUUUUCUUCCACGCUUUAGGAUCAACUUGGUGUCACUUUCAUGUGUUUGUUAACUGUUUUUUACUUCACUGGUCUCCAUGUCUGACUUUUGUAUAUUUUAGAUACUUUUUCUCCUUAAUCUUUGCUACCAUUAAACCAAUUUUUUUUUCCACCUUCAUUUACAUUUCUUUAACUGACAUUUUAUGAAUUACUUCUAUCUGUGAGUUUUCCAGUGCCAGACCUAUACCCCAUGUUUUAUCACUCCACCUCUCUGCUCCUCUACCCUACACACUUGUCUCAGCUUGUCGUACAUAUCAGGGCAGUAUUUCUGUAUACUACAACAUUGUGUUAAGAGUUACAAAUAUCACUCAUAGAUUAAUGUUUAUUAUGGCUGUAAAACUCUGGUAUCUUUAUAAAA